AAAGUGGGACAGGCAGUCGCCGCCUCCGCAAGGAGGGGGAGGAAAGUCCGGACUCCAUAGGGCGGGGUGAUGGCUAACGGCCAUCCGUGGCAACACGCGGAACAGGGCAACAGAGAACAGACCGCCGAUGGCCGCGCGCGCAAGCGCGCGGAUCAGGUAAGGGUGAAACGGUGCGGUAAGAGCGCACCGCGUCUACGGUGACGUAGACGGCACGGUAACCUCCACCCGGAGCAAUUCCAAAUAGGCAGGCAAGCGCCUUCGCGGCGCAGGACGGGGCCCCCGUUCGUCUGCGGGUAGGAAGCUUGAGCGCGUCAGCAAUGGCGCGUCUAGAGGAAUGACUGUCACGCGCGCCGGCAACGGCGCGUGCACAGAAUCCGGCUUAUCGGCCCACUUUGCCU
rnacentral:RNase_P_RNA from 1 species